UACGGAGGGUGCAAGCGUUGUCCGGAUUUAUUGGGUUUAAAGGGUGCGUAGGCGGCCCGUUAAGUCAGUGGUGAAAGCCUCCAGCUCAACUGGAGAACUGCCAUUGAUACUGACGGGCUUGAGUACAGACAAGGUUGGCGGAAUUGAUUGUGUAGCGGUGAAAUGCAUAGAUACAAUCAAGAACUCCGAUUGCAUAGGCAGCUAACUAGGCUGUAACUGACGCUGAGGCACGAAAGCGUGGGGAGCGAACAGG
rnacentral:rRNA from 1 species